CCAACUAUCCUGAUUAUAUUGGAUAUCCCCACACUAUAUAUAUCAACAACCACACUGUAUAUAUAUAACAACACUAAUAGUACAUAUAACUACACUUAACAUGUAUAUCAUUCAACACACUAUUGAUACUUGUCACCCCUCUGUAUAUAUCCAUCACCACUUUGUUAAUAUGUCUAUCACUACACUGGUUAAACCAAUCACCACACUGUUUAUAUUUGUCACCACACAGUAUAUAUGUAUACCUCAUCUUUGCUUAUAUAUCACCACACUGUAUAUAUAAUCGCUAUUCUGUAUAUUCUUCACCGCACUAUAUUUACAAAUUACAACUCUAUAUAUAUAU
rnacentral:lncRNA from 1 species